UAGUUUCUAUGGACGGAAAAGAGCAGAUACGGAUCAAAUGGUUUUCAAUGCAUUCCUAUGGGAAAUGCAGAUUUGACCUGAGAACUUUUUGACUUGAGAACCGCCUUCCAAUACGCAUUAAGUUCUCAAGUAAAGACCCCACUGUAGUUUCUAUGGACGGAAAAGAGCAGAUACGGAUUAAAUGGUUUUCAGUGCAUUCCUAUGGGAAAUGCAGAUUUGACCUGAGAACUUUUUGACUUGAGAACCGCCUUCCAAUACGCAUUAAGUUCUCAAGUAAAGACCUCCCAUUAGUUUCUAUGGACGGAAAAGAGCAGAUACGGAUUAAAUGGUUUUCAGUGCAUUCCUAUGGGAAAUGCAGAUUCGACCUACGAACUUUUUGACCUACGAACCGCCUUCCAAUACAGAUUAAGUUCGUAAGUCGAGACCCCACUGUAAUACACUUAAAUGGAAUAAAUCGGUAAGGUCAGGAUCAGGCCAGUGGGAGCUCAGCUACAACUCCUGAAAGUCUGUAUCAUGGAGGAAACAGAUCAGUUGAGUGAUAGUGCUAGGUAUGUGAGGAUUUUUUUAAGUACCUCUGAAGAUCAGCAGUGCUAUGGUGAGCAAAAGUUAUAACAAGUUGGUAAAUCUUGGGAAAUACACAUGGCUUCAGGAUACACUGUUGUGACCGAACAUGUUUUCACUGAUUUAUGUGACACAACAGGCCAAAAAAAAAUUACCAAAUUUUUAACAUGCUUUUCAGUAUUACAGAACAAAACAGUGUACUUGGUGAAAUGAACUAUAGCUUCUUUGAUUGUCUGUUGUUAGUGCAACAAUGCUACAACCAUCAUUAUAUGCCUUUUGAUUUUUCUUCAAAAAUGAUUAUGUACACGUCAUUAAGUGGCUAAGGAACAUGGUGCUGGACACUGGGCUUGUAGAGAAAGAAGAGACAAGCUGAUGUGUCCCCUUCCUAUUACUGAGGACAGUGCGCUUCAGAAAAUGGCAGCCAUCUGGAAUGAGUGGGAAAGUAUCUGUAAGGUGCAUCUUGGCUGAGAUGGAGACAACUGCUUAGUCUACUACAUAGUCUUGCUGCCAAGGUUUGUUCUGAAAGUAAGUCAGCAGAAAGCAAGUGCCAGCUAGCAAGGCAGCUGGACAUUAAUAAGGGGGAUGAUUUCUUCCAUCUCACAAGGCGAGUGGGUUCCUACCGAUCAUGUAUAGCUCAGGCCUGAGCUUUAUGAUACCAC
rnacentral:lncRNA from 1 species